rnacentral:rRNA from 1 species
GUAGGUGGCAAGCGUUGUCCGGAAUUAUUGGGCGUAAAGCGCGCGCAGGUGGUUCGUUUAAGUCUGAUGUGAAAGACCCCCGGGCUCAACCGGGGAGGGUCAUUGGAAACUGGGGAACUUGAGUGCAGGAGAGGAAAGUGGAAUUCCACGUGUAGCGGUGAAAUGCGUAGAUAUGUGGAGGAGCACCAGUGGCGUAGGCGACUUUCUGGCCUGUAACUGACACUGAGGCGCGAAAGCGUGGGGAGCAAACAGGAUUAGAUACCCUGGUAGUCCACGCCGUAAACGAUGAGUGCUAAGUGUUGGGGGGUUUCCGCCCCUCAGUGCUGCAGCUAACGCAUUAAGCACUCCGCCUGGGGAGUACGGUCGCAAGACUG